rnacentral:piRNA from 2 species
UCCAACCUCUUGACAGAUGCAUAUUCUGUGC